AAAGUGGACGUGAGAGAAGGCAAAAAACAUUCCGUCAAUAACUGACAUCACUCAACUAUUGCGUCUGCAAACAUUCGAGCAGGGAAAAAGGUUAGGAAGGACCCAGAAAGGGUCUUGUGUCGUUGUCGCAAGAAUGUAUGUCCA
ensembl:ncRNA K03A1.9 ncRNA